rnacentral:rRNA from 1 species
ACGGAGGGUGCAAGCGUUGUUCGGAAUUACUGGGCGUAAAGCGUACGUAGGCGGUUGAUUAAGUCAAAUGUAAAAGCCCGGGGCUCAACCCCGUGGUCGCACUUGAUACUGGUCGACUAGAGGGCGAUAGAGGAAAGCGGAAUUCCGAGUGUAGCGGUGAAAUGCGUAGAUAUUCGGAGGAACAUCGGUAGCGAAAGCGGCUUUCUGGGUCGCUCCUGACGCUGAGGUACGAAAGCGUGGGUAGCAAACGG